CAAACGGUUCCGGAGUUGCAAUACUCAUUCGGUCCAAAACUUGCAGUUAAUGAAGACACAAAAAUACAUAUGCCGCACAUACAGCACACACUUAUCAAUUUACUUAUUUAUAUGUGCAAACAACAUAGGUACACACAAUAGGGUAUUACAUCCGUGUGUUUUCUAAAGUUAACUUCAUUAUCAAGGCCGCAAUGACGUAUUCACCUUCUCCCGGCAUACUCGCCUCAAUGCUAAGCUCAACCUACGUAGUGGUAGAAUUAGCUUUCCGGUAACAGCGCACUCAAUUAAAUUGAGACUAAACGCGGACAUGCCCAAUGGGCCAGUCAUAUCGCUGCUUCAAACUGUUACGUCAUUAAGCUGCUUUCUAUGUGCACUGGUGAGAAUGACCAAUACCUUUGUACUGAUUUUGUAGCAGUUAACAAUAAUUUUGAAUGGUUAUCGGCCGGACACUAUUCGUGCGCAUCAAAAAUGGUUCCAGAGUACCGGUGCCAAAUCUGAGCUCAAGCAACAUUAGGAACAAGCUUGAUUGUCUGCGGUUGCAUCAGCCUGUGGAACUUUCUAAGGCAGCUCCCUGAAUCAUGAAGUGACCAAUGUGUGAUAACAGACAGGCACAAAGCAAAUUUCUAGAAGGUGCAUUAGAAACAUUUUGCUUAUGUAGUGGUGUUAUUGAUUUGAUUUAUUAAAAAUUGUUUGAAACCUUUG